AUUGAACGCUGGCGGCAGGCCUAACACAUGCAAGUCGAACGAGUGGCGGACGGGUGAGUAAUGUCUGGGAAACUGCCCGAUGGAGGGGGAUAACUCCUGGAAACGGUAGCUAAUACCGCAUACCAUCGGAUGUGCCCAGAUGGGAUUAGCUAGUAGGUGGGGUAACGGCCCACCUAGGCGACGAUCCCUCGCUGGUCUGAGAGGAUGACCAGCCACACGGGAACUUAGACACGGUCCAGACUCCUCCGGGAGGCAGCAGGGGGGAAUAUUGCACAAUGGGCGAAAGCCUGAUGCAGCCAUGCCGCGUGAAUGAAGAAGGCUUUCGGUUUGUAAAGUACUUUCAGCGAGGAAGCGUUACUCGCAGAAGAAGCACCGGCUAACUCCGUGCCAGCAGCCGCGGUAAUAC
rnacentral:rRNA from 1 species